GUGGGGAAUCUUAGACAAUGGGCGCAAGCCUGAUCUAGCCAUGCCGCGUGAGUGAUGAAGGCCCUAGGGUUGUAAAGCUCUUUCAGCUGGGAAGAUAAUGACGGUACCAGCAGAAGAAGCCCCGGCUAACUCCGUGCCAGCAGCCGCGGUAAUACGGAGGGGGCUAGCGUUGCUCGGAAUUACUGGGCGUAAAGGGCGCGUAGGCGGACAGUUAAGUUGGGGGUGAAAGCCCGGGGCUCAACCUCGGAACUGCCUUCAAUACUGGCUGUCUUGAGUAUGAGAGAGGUGUGUGGAACUCCGAGUGUAGAGGUGAAAUUCGUAGAUAUAGGAAGGAACACCAGUGGCGAAGGCGACUACCUGGACUGAUACUGACACUGAGGUGCGAAAGCGUGGGGAGCAAACAGGAUUAGAUACCCCGGUAGUCC
rnacentral:rRNA from 1 species